AACGAUGAAGCUUCUAGCUUGCUAGAAAGUGGAUUAGUGGCGCACGGGUGAGUAAUGCAUAGGUUAUGUGCCCCAUAGUCUGGGAUAGCCACUGGAAACGGUGAUUAAUACCGGAUACUCCUUACGAGGGAAAGUUUUUCGCUAUGGGAUCAGCCUAUGUCCUAUCAGCUAGUUGGUGAGGUAAUGGCUCACCAAGGCUAUGACGGGUAUCCGGCCUGAGAGGGUGAACGGACACACUGGAACUGAGACACGGUCCAGACUCCUACGGGAGGCAGCAGUAGGGAAUAUUGCUCAAUGGGCGAAAGCCUGAAGCAGCAACGCCGCGUGGAGGAUGAAGGUUUUAGGAUUGUAAACUCCUUUUGUUAGAGAAGAUUAUGACGGUAUCUCACGAAUAAGCAC
rnacentral:rRNA from 1 species